ensembl:lncRNA
AUAACACAUUAAGUUGUUGUAUACACACCAAAUAUCUGACAUUGUAUUCCCAUUUUCAUUUUGUUGUGCUUUUAAAUGGUUAAAAGUACAGUGAUACAUUCAGAUGACAACUAAACCAAAAAUCAGACAUUGUCUUUCUGUUGGAAAUUGGUUGCUUUUAGAUGGUUGAAAGCAUAGUGAUAACACACUGGGAAUUCAACAAACUUCUUUUUAAGUGCGUAAAUAAAGGUUGAAAUCGAAUUGAUCAUUGUCUUAACCAAAUAUUACCCAAAUGUGCCCUGUGGGUCAUCCCACAUGUUGAAGAAACGAAAGUAUAAAAUAGCUGACAUAACAACGCCACCUCCGAUGCUAAAUAUGUUGCAAAUGACAUCCUCAUGGCUGUACUAUUCAAUAACGUGAAUGGCACUUAGGUGAUAGUCUUAUAAAACCUUACCCUGGAAGACAUACAAAAUACACGGAAUGUACAAAACAUUAGGAACACCUUAAUAUUGAGUUGCACCCCCUUUUGCCCUCAGAAUAGCCUCAAUUUGUCGGCGCAUGGACUCUACAAGGUGUCGAAAGCUUUCCACAGGGAUGCUGGCCCAUGUUGACUCUAAUGCUUCUCACAAUUGUUUCAAGAUGGCUGGUUGUCCUUUGGAUGGUGGACCAUUCUUGAUACACACGGGAAAGUGGUGAGCAUGAAAACCCAGCAGCUUUGCAGUUCUUACAUGUAUUGAACCAUUUUUGUUGUUGUCAUUUAGCAGACUCCAGAGCGACUUACAGUUAGUGCAUUCAUCUUAAUAAGAUAGAUAGGUGGGACAACCACAUAUCUCAGUCAUAGUAAGUACUGUACAUUUUCCCUCUAAAGUACACUGUAAAACUUGAUUGUUGUUUUGACAGUAUUAUACAAUAAAGCUAACAGUAAAAUACAGUUAUUUACAGUAAAUUGCUGCAAAUGGCAAUGCACUCUCGGUGAUUUUACGCGUAAACAGUAAAUGACACCGUAAAUUCCAAAGAAACUUUGGCUUAAAGGUCUGAGCAGCCAUUUUGAUUCCCAUGUAAAAUAAGCCUUUUGAAUGACUAGAACAUCACCCAAAAUAUUUUUUCCAGAUAAAAAUGCUCAAAAUCGGACAAAAAUUACUUUUGCUCUCAUGUCAAACUACCAGUAAGUCUGAAAAGAUACACUGAGUGGACGGGGAGCUAGUAGGCUGAGUGGGCGGGGAACUAGUAGGCUGAGUGGGCGGGGAACUAGUAGGCUGAGUGGGCGGGGAACUAGUAGGCUGAGUGGGCGGGGAACUAGUAGGCUGAGUGGACGGGGAACUAGUAGGCUGAGUGGACGGGGAGCUAGUAGACUGAGUGGACGGGGAACUAGUAGGCUGAGUGGGUGGGGAGCUAGUAGGCUGAGUGGACGGGAAACUUACCGUGACACACUUCAAACAGGUCCGCCAGGCACCUACUACCAUACCCGUUCAAAGGCACUUACAUCUUUUGUCUUGCCCAUUCACCCUCUAACCAUUCGAUAUUAAACUGAUUAUGGCAGAAGGCCACGUAUGGCAUUAGUCAUGUAAACCCCUUACUCUGGUUAUCCUAAUCGGUGUAAGGUCAAAAUCAAAGUAAGCAUACGGCGAUUAAAACAACUGGUUUUCUGAGCAAUCUUUCAAAUUAUUAGCGGUGUAUUUGAUCUGAGCAUGUGCCAGCACCGGUAGCGCAAGCCUCCAUCUUAAACGCGAGUGAAGUGAGUUGUUAAAAACGGAAAGUAUGCAUCUUAUAAAUAGCUUUC